rnacentral:rRNA from 1 species
CCUACGGGUGGCACCAGUGGGGAAUAUUGGACAAUGGGCGAAAGCCUGAUCCAGCAAUGCCGCGUGUGUGAAGAAGGUCUUCGGAUUGUAAAGCACUUUCGACGGGGACGAUGAUGACGGUACCCGUAGAAGAAGCCCCGGCUAACAUCGUGCCAGCAGCCGCGGUAAUACGAAGGGGGCUAGCGUUGCUCGGAAUGACUGGGCGUAAAGGGCGCGUAGGCGGUUUAUGCAGUCAGAUGUGAAAUCCCCGGGCUUAACCUGGGAACUGCAUUUGAGACGCAUACACUAGAGGUCGAGAGAGGGUUGUGGAAUUCCCAGUCUAGAGGUGAGAUUCGUAGAUAUUGGGAAGAACACCGAUGGCGAAGGCGGCAACCUGGCUCGAUACUGACGCUGAGGCGCGAAAGCGUGGGGAGCAAACAGGAUUAGAUACCCCGGUAGUC